AACCUUAUGGACCUGCGGGCGUAUACCUGCGGAAGGAUCAUUAAUGCUUUAGCGGGUGUGUUGCGGCCCUCGAGGCCCCGUGCAUUCGCUGCACGGGAACAAGCUCCGGGAGGUGUAGGGUUCCCACGUGGGGGCCCUUUCACGCGCACAUGACUGAAUCCUUACUUUACUCGUACCUCUCGUUCUCCUUCGGCGGGGCAGCCUGCCGUUGGAACAGCCAAAACUCUUUUUUUUUUUGCA
rnacentral:misc_RNA from 1 species